AUGGUGCUCGGCGGCUGCGGCAACGGAGGUGAUGGUGCGCGAGCCGACCAGUUCAACGGAGGCAGGAGCACGGGCCAGCGGCAGCAGCAUGGAGGGCGUCCUCUUGGUUGGGAAGGUAAUGGAAAUGCAAAUAGGAGUGGUAGUGGCAACCAUGAUGCAAAUGCAAGUGAUUCCCAAAAAUCUUGGAAAGGAAUUAAAGAUAAUAACUUGUGUGAUCCUUGGAACCAUGCAUGGCCGUAUUAUGGGGGUUUUGAUUGUGUGUACUGCAGCCUAAAGCACAAAGGUGGAGGUGCAACCCGUGUCGCGGAGCACCUUGGUGGUAUUGUAGGUAAUGUGAGGAGCUGCCCCAAUGUGCCAAGAAAUGUGAGAGAUGCAAUGAGAGAGUGUCGGGAUGAAUCAAGGAGGAAGAAAAGAGACAAACAAAAUAGCAGGCUGAGAAUUGAAAGAAAUAUUAUGGAAGGGUUGUAUCAAAAAGGAGGGGUGAUUAACAUACUAGAUGAUGAAGAAGAAGAAAUUCAGAUGAAUAUUAGAGAGGCCUUGCGUGACCCGAAUGUCUCUCGCAGAGUUGAAAGGAGGAUUGGUAGGGGGGCGUGGGUGAUGUGCGGGUUUCUGUUGGCAAAAGGAGUAUCACUGCCUAUUUUGACAAACAAUUAUCCAGCAACAAAGUAUCUAUGCAGCCCAAGAUCACUAGUGCUUUGGAUCCUAAUUCAAGAGAUGCACUUGGCCUAG
rnacentral:rRNA from 1 species